UACAGAGGGUGCAAGCGUUAAUCGGAAUUACUGGGCGUAAAGCGUGCGUAGACGGUUAUGUAAGUCGGGUGUGAAAGCCCCGGGCUCAACCCUGGGAAUUGCAUUCGAGACUGUGUAGCUAGGGUACGGAAGAGGGAAGCGGAAUUUCAGGUGUAGCGGUGAAAUGCGUAGAUAUCUGAAGGAACACCAGUGGCGAAAGCGGCUUCCUGGUCCAGUACCGACGUUCAGGCACGAAAGCGUGGGGAGCAAACAGG
rnacentral:rRNA from 1 species